rnacentral:rRNA from 1 species
AGUGAACGCUGGCGGUAGGCCUAACACAUGCAAGUCGAACGGCAGCACAGAGGAGCUUGCUCCUUGGGUGGCGAGUGGCGGACGGGUGAGGAAUACAUCGGAAUCUACUCUGUCGUGGGGGAUAACGUAGGGAAACUUACGCUAAUACCGCAUACGACCUACGGGUGAAAGCAGGGGAUCUUCGGACCUUGCGCGAUUGAAUGAGCCGAUGUCGGAUUAGCUAGUUGGCGGGGUAAAGGCCCACCAAGGCGACGAUCCGUAGCUGGUCUGAGAGGAUGAGCAGCCACACUGGAACUGAGACACGGUCCAGACUCCUACGGGAGGCAGCAGUGGGGAAUAUUGGACAAUGGGCGAAAGCCUGACGCGGCGACGCCGCGUGGGGGAAGAAGGCCUUCGGGUUGUAAACCUCUUUCAGGAGGGACGAAGCCACUCGGGUUAAAAGCCCAGAGGGUGACGGUACCUCCAGAAGAAGCCCCGGCUAACUACGUGCCAGCAGCCGCCGCCG